rnacentral:rRNA from 1 species
UGGGGAAUAUUGCACAAUGGGCGAAAGCCUGAUGCAGCAACGCCGCGUGAGUGAUGAAGGCCUUCGGGUUGUAAAGCUCUGUCUUUUGGGACGAUAAUGACGGUACCAAAGGAGGAAGCCACGGCUAACUACGUGCCAGCAGCCGCGGUAAUACGUAGGUGGCAAGCGUUGUCCGGAUUUUACUGGGCGUAAAGGAUGCGUAGGCGGAUUUUUAAGUGAGAUGUGAAAACCCUAAGCUUAACUUGGGGACUGCAUUUCAUACUGGAAAUCUAGAGUGCGGGAGAGGAGAAUGGAAUUCCUAGUGUAGCGGUGAAAUGCGUAGAGAUUAGGAAGAACACCAGUGGCGAAGGCGAUUCUCUGGACCGUAACUGACGCUGAGGCAUGAAAGCGUGGGUAGCAAACAGGAUUAGAUACCCUGGUAGUCCACGCCGUAAACGAUGAGUACUAGGUGUAGGAGGUAUCGACCCCCUUCUGUGCCGCAGUUAACACAA